rnacentral:piRNA from 1 species
ACAUUGACUGUGCCUUCUCAGAGA